rnacentral:pre_miRNA from 1 species
UGGUGGUGAUGAUGAUGAUGAUGAUGAUGGUGAUGGUGGUGACCAUCAUCAUCACCAUCAUCACCACCAUCAUAAUCAUCAUCAUCA